CGCAGGCGCCCACCUGUAGGGGCCCGACCUUGGCAAGGAGAAACUCGAAACUUCUGAGGCUGGAGUCAUCGUAUCAUCCAGCCAUAGAAGCGUAGAAGGGGGCACUCCCCCCCGCCCCCACCGCCCUCACCCUCAUACACAGAUGGAAGGCGGAGGACGCUUGCCCUUGAUGGAGAGAAGAGCGGCUCAAAGACUUCAUUUACAUGCUUCCUCUGGGAAGCUGGAAAGAAUCCAAAGGGUUAACUCUAGAUCAACUCCUCGUUUUGUAGGAGAGGAACCUGCGGCAGGGAGAUGUCAGUGACAGAAGCUUGAAUUCCCAGUCAUCAUUCCACGCUCUGUCCGUCUAAAGGAGAAUCACGUGGAAAGAGGAGCCUGGUGGGCUAUCAUCUGUGGGUCACACAGAGUCAGACACGACUGAAGUGAUUAAGCAUGCAUUCACUUUGCUGUAUUGCGACGGUUUGGCCAUACAUCGACAUGGAUCAGCCACAGUGAAGAAUCAAGACUCAGGGAAGCCAAGUGUCGGAUGCACAACUACACAGCCUAUGAUGGGGGAAGCUAGAACCAGACCCAAGACUUGCACUUCGUUUAUUUUUUGAGCCUCAAAGACUAGGAAUUACACGACUGAAAAGAACGCAGCCAUAAGGAGACAUGAAGGACUUCCCUAGCGGCACAGUGGAUACGAAUCCACCUGCCAACGCAGAGGACACGGGUUGCAUCCCUCGUCUGGGAAGAUUCCACGUGCCGCAGAGCAACGAAGGCCCAUGCACUGCGGCGAUUGGAUCCUGCACACUCUUUUAAGGGCCCACAAGCCGUAAGUACUGAGACCACAUACCACAACUACCGAGUCCACGUGCUCCAGCUACCGGAGCCUGUGUGCCUAGAGCCUGUGCCCCCCAGCAAGAGAAGCCACUGCAGUGAGAAGCCUGGGCAUCGCAGCAAAGAGCAGCCCCCGUUCACUACAACUGGAGAGAGCCCUCAUCCAGCAACAAAGACCCAGCCUAGCCCAAAAUAAGACCUGCUGCUGCUAAGUCGCUUCAGUUGUGUCCGACUCUGUACGACCCCAGAGACGGCAGCCCACCAGGCUCCCCCGUCCCUGAGAUUCUCCAGGCAAGAACACUGGAGUGGGCUGCCAUUUCCUUCUCCAAUACAUGAAAGUGAAAAGUGAAAGUGAAGUCGCUCAGUUGUGUCCGACUCUUAGCGACCCCAUGGACUGCAGCCCACCAGGCUCCUCCAUCCAUGGGAUUUUCCAGGCAGGAGCACUGGAGUGGGGUGCCAUUGCCUUCUCCAUUUCAGGACCUAGACACUGUUAUUUUUCAGCCUGAAUUUCUCUAGACAGAGAAUCGUAGCUAAUUUAACUCUAAAUUCAUAUGUGAGCCUCUCAAUUUUCAAGAUCGUUUCAACUGUCCUGUUGUAAUCUACAGUUUUCAAGGUGCAGGGUCAAAAAGUCAAUGAUACCUACAGUAAUGACAGCCAGCAUUUCUGAGUAUGCAUGAUGGGCCACUUACUGUGCUAACAGCUUUACAU
ensembl:lncRNA